GUGUCCCCAGGAGUUCUCUGCAAACACUUCACAAAGCACUUUUUUAGAGCUUUUGUGAAGUGUUUGGGGGAACUCUUGGUGCCAC
rnacentral:pre_miRNA from 1 species